rnacentral:lncRNA from 1 species
UGUUGGUUUGUAAAAUCAAACGAGCGUUAAUUUAUUCAUGCAGAAAAUGAAGAAAUUUCAUUGAAAAUAUUUUGAUAAUCUAUAAUGAAUUUCUGUAGACCCCUGAUAAGUCAUUCUUACCAACUCAACCAAGCUUGAAUGUGGUUGGAAUCGAGUUCACGAAGGGUCCUUCAUGGAAAACCAAGGGACUCAGUGCUGGGGAAUUUUUCCUAUUACCUAUUGAUCCGAUGCUUUUUAUGACCUUAGGACGAUUAUUUCAAAAAUCAAACUUUUCACUUGCCAAUUUAGAAAUAAACGGACUGAAAAAUGAUUUUUUUUUUACUCACAUUAUUCAGCAGAAAUGUCCGUGAUGGAGCAGAGCUCCUCUUACCCAUUGCGUGCCAGCUGAGGAAAUUACAGAUGCCCACUGCCAGGUACGCAAGCUGUUUAAGAAGUCUUCAAAAAAGGUUUUUCCAAAUGGAAAGGUCAGUUUGAAAAACGAAAUGGCUAAAAGUUAAGAUAUUUGCAAGACAUUAGCUGCAGAUCCUUUUUCAGUCAUCAGACGAAACUUAUCUUGGGCUCGCUUUUCUGUUGUAGGUGAAGCACUCGAAGAUGAAGAGUACGAAGAAGAAGAAGAGGAGGAGGAUGAAGAUGAGGAAGAAGAAGAAGAGGACGAUGAUGACGAUGACGAGGGAGAUGAGCCUGCACCAGGCAAAAAACCAGCAAUCAAAGGUUAGCUGCCAUGCUCUGUGGAAUCACUGUAACUCCGUCUGGCCCAUUUUUGCCCCAAAUUUUAUGUACCAUGACAUGGAUCUGUCACCAUUAUGUUCGCUACCCUCAAGAAUUUUUCCUUAAGGCUCAUCGAAGUGUCCUUAUGGAUCUCUUUUUUUCAAAUGUCGAAUGAAAAUUAAUGAUAGGACGUAUUACCGGUGGGAUAACUUGAUUACUAUUUUGGAGUUCUGGUGUACCCGAUUAGCAUGGCAGUCCAAGCUUUGGCAUUUUCUGACUGCAAGCUCAUUCCAGUAGGGAAAUAUUAGAAUCUAAUAAAAUGCGGUCGGCGCUCACUGGUCAAUACAACAUACCCUUGUCACGCAUUUUACUGAAAAAUUGGAAAUCAAAAUAUGUUGAAAGGUUUGCUUUUGUUACUAUUUUUUUUUACUCUUAGUCCCUUGUUAGUUUUUUUUUGUCUUUAAUCAUCAUUUGUCUUGGAAGUAAGCUCUCGGAACAAGAUCUGGUUUCUACCUCACCCAAUUCUGUUCAUUAUCACCCUUUAAUUUAUUCUACAGACCAUCUACAGUCUUUAUCUACUAUAAAAGAUCGAACUGGUUUCGAAUUUCUCUUGUAUCUAUGACCGUAGACUUUGUUUGAAUCAUCGAAGGUUUUACAACUUAAUAGAAGGUAAAUGCAGAUGAAAAAAAAUGUUCUCAAAACCCCUGCUAUAAUUACGAAGAGCCCGUGGAUUUCUUUAAUGCUGACCGGUAUGUUUAACAAUAAAAAAUUAGAGUUGAAGUACAUGUGUAUUUUUGUAUCGAUAUUGUAAAUGUUAAGUUAUUGUUAAAUUUGAAACUAGUUAUUAUUUUAUGCAAAUUUAAUUAAUUUAAUUUAGGUAGACUGUUUCAUUUUUAUCCGGCACAUACCCAUAUCUUUGCACUCCUCAUGAGUAAUUUUUAUCCAGUGUGUCCUCCUGGCUCCUGGUUCUGUGUCUACUUUUUCAAAGCCUUUUCGAUGACGUAAAAUUUCAUUUUUGUCUGUGUUAGUUUUAUAAUCCUUAAAAUUGUUGUUUCCAAGCGUUAAUUUCAGUUUUUCAUGUAUCCCAGUGUGCCAGUAGUACCAAUCACAUUUUUCCUUGUUCAUUUUGAAUACCUGUCUUCAUUGAAGUUAUGAAAGAUUACAGUUUUAACAUGAUUGAUAGCUGUUUCGAUUAAACAAAUUUCCUCCUUUUUUAAAAAUUCCUUUGUUAUUUUUUAGCAACCUCUACUCUAUUAACCCUGGACCUGUUAACGGUGCAACAUAAACAUCAGCUCAAUAAGUAUUGAGAUCAACUCUUCAUAAAAUGGAAACAUUUUUAAGCCAUUUUCUCAUGUAACAUGUCAGUAACGUCAGUUCAAAAAAUUUCCCCUCGACUUUUUUUUUUUUUUUUAAAAAAAAAAUACAAAAGCACAAUUACUUCGCAAAUUAAACUUUCAAAUCACCGUGGAAAUGGUGACAUCUUUUGAUAAAGUUAUCGCUUUGACUGAGAGCAAUGGAAUUGAAUAGAUAGUUUUAUAUAAAUGAUAUGAGUUAGCGUUUGUGACUUCUUGAUUCUGAAGUUCCUGUUGCUAAAUCUUAUCAUAGACACUAUCACUUUUGACUAACAAGGGAAGGAUCAGAAUCCCUAUGCUGAUUUUAAUCCACUUAGCAACCAACUCCAUCUUGUUCAAGUUUAGAUGUUUGGCAGGUGCUUUUAACGUUUUAAUUUCUUACAAAUGGACCUCUAGGAUCCAUCAAAAACUCUAAUCUCUCUCCUUGGUUGCAAAAAAUCAGGAAUUUAUCAUGGUUUCUCUAGUCAUAAGCCAG